GCCGGGAUAGCUCAGUUGGUAGAGCAGGGGAUUGAAAAUCCUCGUGUCACCAGUUCAAU
rnacentral:tRNA from 1 species